CCAAUAGCGUAUAUUAAAGUUGUUGCAGUUAAAAAGCUCGUAGUUGAAUUUCGGGGUCAGUAGGUCGGUCGUGCCACUGGUAUGAACUGGUUUUACUGAUUCCUCCCUCUUGAAGAACUGUAAUGCCAUUAAUUUGGUGUUGCAGGGAAUCAGGACUGUUACUUUGAAAAAAUUAGAGUGUUUAAAGCAGGCUUUAGCUUGAAUACAUUAGCAUGGAAUAAUGAAAUAGGACGUUUGAUCCUAUUUUGUUGGUUUCUAGGAUUGACGUAAUGAUUAAUAGGGAUAGUUGGGGGCAUUAGUAUUCAAUUGUCAGAGGUGAAAUUCUUGGAUUUAUUGAAGACUAACUACUGCGAAAGCAUUUGCCAAGGAUGUUUUCAUUAAUCAAGAACGAAAGUUAGGGGAUCGAAGACGAUCAGAUACCGUCGUAGUCUUAACCAUAAACUAUGCCGACUAGGGAUCGGAUGAUGUUAAUUUUUUAAUGACUCAUUC
rnacentral:rRNA from 1 species